GACGAACGCUGGCGGCGUGCUUAACACAUGCAAGUCGAGCGGUAAGGCCUUUCGGGGUACACGAGCGGCGAACGGGUGAGUAACACGUGGGUGAUCUGCCCUGCACUCUGGGAUAAGCCUGGGAAACUGGGUCUAAUACUGGAUAUGACCUCAGCAUGCAUGUGCUGGGGGGGAAAGCUUUUGUGGUGCAGGAUGGGCCCGCGGCCUAUCAGCUUGUUGGUGGGGUAAUGGCCUACCAAGGCGACGACGGGUAGCCGACCUGAGAGGGUGACCGGCCACACUGGGACUGAGACACGGCCCAGACUCCUACGGGAGGCAGCAGUGGGGAAUAUUGCACAAUGGGCGGAAGCCUGAUGCAGCGACGCCGCGUGAGGGAUGAAGGCCUUCGGGUUGUAAACCUCUUUCAGCAGGGACGAAGCGUGAGUGACGGUACCUGCAGAAGAAGCACCGGCUAACUACGUGCCAGCAGCCGCAGUAA
rnacentral:rRNA from 1 species